UGAAAGAACCAAGCAAACACCUAGAGAUCUGUGCAGCUUUUUGGCAAAUAACUCCAGCUGAAGUCCCAGUGGAUGGCCAUAGUGACUGCAACUCAAGAAUCUAGCUGCUGUGUCAUGAGUCAUUUAAGCCACAUGGAAAGGCAAGAAGCAGGCACUAUGGUCAGCAGUUCCACAGGAACCCAGGCUGCCAGCUGUCCAGCCCAGAUACUGAGUGCAGGCAUCUGCAGAAGAUGGGUCCAGGCCCCAGCUGGGUGUCACUCCCUUCGUUCAAGUGUUUCUAGCAGAGGCCUUAGAGAUCACAGCAAGAGACAAGCCACUCCCAUUCAUCCUUGUUCAGACACAGGACACUACAGAACCUGUGAGCACAGAGAUACAAUGGUGACUUCAUGACCCUCCACAGUUGGAUAGAUUUCCACACAGUAAUAUAUAACUGGGAUACUAAAUCUUUAGGAGAAAAAGCUCCGAUGUAGUCCUCAGAUUCAGCAGAGGGAGGAAUGGUUUAAUGAUUCUCAUUAAACCAUAUCACAGGACCUCUCACCUCUUCCUGUCUCAUCUUUCUUAUUUUCCUUCUCCAGAAAUAAAGCCUUCUCUGAACCAGUCCCAAGAA